rnacentral:tRNA from 1 species
GCCUCGAUGGUGGAAUUGGUAGACACGCCAGACUCAAAAUCUGGUGGGGCGACCCGUGCCGGUUCGACUCCGGCUCGAGGUACCA